rnacentral:lncRNA from 1 species
CAAUUUUGGCCUGCAAAGACUUCCUUCUCUCGCCUCUACUAUCCAACUCCUGUGAGGGACUCAGGCAUAGUUCGGGCGGAGGCAGAAAGAGCGAGCGCGCGAAGAACUUCGGUAUUGAGGUUGCUAAGGCUUCUCCUCAUGUGCUUCAAGAGAAAGUAGCCUUUAACUGUGGAAAGGACACCAGGGGGACCGGGGAAGGGGAGAGCAGUGGUAAAAAUGAGCCAGAAGCAGAUAAGGCGACUGCCCGCCCCGCGGAGAGCUGCCUUCUGGGACUUGUAGUGCGCGGGGCCCCCGGAGCCGGCUGGCUGCGCAGGCUCGGCCGUUGCGCUGGCCCCACCCCGGCGGGCGGAGUAACGGUUUGGAAUCCCCCGGGGUCAGCGAGCGCUUGUUUCCUCCGCCUGGUGUAGCAAAAGUGUAAACACGCGCGCUCCGGAAGGCGCCCUCCAGUGGGAGGUUGCUCAGGGGAUGGCGGAGCUGUGAAACUCGGAGCUAGAAGGAAAGUCUCAACGCUUGUCUAAAUUUUGCUUUGUCGUGACGAGCUACCUAGACCCACGCAGAGCUAACUUGGGAGAGCGCUUGUGACGCUACGAACCUCUCGAACACCUGACGACUGGGCGCCAGGGCCGGAUGGAGGGUGGAGAGCCAGUGCGGCGCAGCUGCCUCCUCUUAACGGGGACACCUUGCAGGAAUGUGCGGAGUGGAGCUAACGGGAGCGGAUAGAAACCGAGGGAGGGGAAGAGAGCGCGAAGGCUUGGCCGGAAGGAGAGGUUAAAAAGGAAAGGCCUAAAAUGAGGAAGAGAGUUACCACAACAAGCAGUACCUAGUUCCAGUUCUUGGUCCCAGGAGUUUGUGGUUGUUGCUGCUUUCAUCUUCCUCAGCCAACACAAAAGGAAAGUGCCAAGGGGCGAUUCCUAGGACCUUCAGUGCAGUCUCCACCUUGCGGACUUGGCUCAUUUGUGUCCACUCCUUUCUCCAGCCUUUUACACUUGAUGCUCUUGGAUGAAUAGAAAGGAGCACAAUUAAUGGAAAACACAAGCUUGGGAGUCAAGGGAUUUGGGUUCUAUUCUUGUCCUCCCUUGGUGACGACAUCAUUACCUUGGGUUAUUCAAGCUUUCAGUGCCAGAGUUCCUAUAUCAAUAAAAGAUUAUUACAUUGACCUCUUAGAGAAAUGUUUUCAUGGUACUGAAUUGCAAAUAAAGUAUGUGUAGCGAUGUGUUAUA